rnacentral:lncRNA from 1 species
CUGGCACAGGCUUGUAAUCCAGCUACUUGGAGGACUGAGGCAGGAGGAUCACAAGUUUAAGGCUAGCCUGGGCUACUUAAUGAGACCCUGUUUUAAAACACCAAAGUAGAAGUUAAGACCGGAGAGCUGCUUCUAGGGAAAUGGCUCAGUGGUUAAGAGGACUUGAAUUCAAGUCCCCGCAUCUGUGUAGUGGCUCACAGCUGUCUGUACCUCCAAUUCCAAGGGAUCUACUGCCCUCUUCUGACCACUGCAGUUACAGGCAUACAAGUGGUACACAAACAUACAGGCAGGUGAAAUAUCCACAAACAUAAAAUAAAAGAGACAAUUGCAAUAUUUUUUGAAAGAGAGAUAUCUGGGAAUGUGUAUGUGUGGUGUAGCCUUUGGCUGGAUAUGUAUGAGUCCCUGAGCUCAAUUUCAAGUAUACACCCCCCAUACACACACACACACACACACACGCACACACACACACCAUACACACACCAUAUAGCGGGGAAGGAGGUGGUGAGGGAGUCGGAGUAUAAGAAGGAGGUAGAGUAACAUAACAAGCAGAAGGGAACUUCAGCAUGCUGCCCUAGGUUGCUCAGGACUACAGGUUAGAAGUCAGACCAAACAAAUGGAGCCAGGACAGACAUGAUUGGCACAGUGAGCCACACCCUUGUGUCCUGCCCAGGACCUUAGAUGUGCUAGCCAUGUCCAUGAAUGUGCAGGUGCUUCAGCAGUCACAUCCCCUUGGACUAGGAGGAGCAGAGUUGGGCAUUCGCUGGCCUCAUGUUUCUUUGUACUUUCCUAAGCAGUGUGUACACCUUUAACAUAUGGUUGUUUCUCAGUACCCCAGGGUGUGGAUCCAGGCCUUUCUGAAGAUACCAAUGCCUAAGAGCGUUCAAGUCCCUACUGUGAAAUGACCCAGUAUUCACCAGUCUCUCUGAUCAUCUUCCUACGUACUCCCCUUUAGAUGAUCACUUAUAUUGUCUGCCAUUGUGUAAGCACCGUAUGAAUGCCAUCUACCUUGGACUGCUGGAGAAUAAUAAAUGAUUAGAAGA